UUAUCAACUUGUAUAAAAUGCCCAACCCUAAAUUAACCCCUCCUCAUUCCCACUUUGAAAUGCUGCCACUGUGAGAGAAAUCUUAAAGCUAUGCCACUACAAUCUCCUCUGUCACGAUCUCUCCUCCGACAACAAUCCUCUCCAGCGACGACCUCCUCUGGCGAAGUCUCCUCCAGCGGUGACCUCCUCUUGCAACGUCUUCUUCAACGGCGAUAUUCUCCUGCGAUGAUCUCCUCCUGCUAGCGGCGUCUCCUCGAGCGACGGUCUCCUCCGACAACAUCUCCUCCAGUAGCGACCUCCUUCUGCAACGUCUUCUCCAGUGAUGGUCUCCUUCGGUAGACUCACGAAACUUUAACAACUAUUUCAGGCUUUAAUCUAUGUCCCGCAUAUUAGAACACUCGGAGAUGCUCUUAUAAAUCGACUGCGAUAUCCUCAACAAGCUGAUGGAGAAAUGAACCCCAACUACAUGUGAGAUUGUACUAUGUGUCUCUUAUUUUAAUUUGUAUCAAAAUGCAUUGAUUAAGAAUAGAUGUACAGAAAAUGACUAGAUAAAAGGAAUUGAAUGGUGGGAACAUAUAUAUAUAUGAUAAGGUGCAGCAGUGUUUUCUCAACCAGGGAGGCACAUCAGAAUUGAAUAAUAACGAUUUUUCUCUAUACCAAAAAGAUUUUCUAAAACGAGAAAAAGAGAAAAGAAGAAACUUAAUUGGGAUGGUAAUCUAAUUAUGGAUUAGAGGAUUCUUCUUAAUUGUUUUGCUGUUAUUAUUAUAUCUCUAUGGUGUAAACUAAGUAAUACAUACAAAACAUGGUUAUUAUUAAUAGAACACCACCACUCUACAAAUAAAGCUCCUCCCCACCCACUACUACCUCAUACCAACCAAUUUCUACUCUUCCCGUAGGGUAAGAUCUUCCACUCAUCUAACUUCUUAAUUACUUUCUUGUUUUCUAUAUAUAUAAUCUUUUGAUUUGAUGGUACUUUAUCUUCAACUCUGUUUCAGAUAGUGGAUCCAUCAAACUAUAUCUAGUUGGAAGUGGAAGAAGCGGAAUAUAAAAAGAUUGGUAGUUUUUGUGUAUAUGUAUGAGAGUAAGUCAAAGGUUGUUGUGUUAAGGGAGGAGAAGCAUAUAAGAAUAUAUAUGGGGCAGCAAUCUAGCAAGAAUGCAUCUCUUACUAUAGGAAUGUGCUCACAAGGCCAGUGGGAAAAAGUUACCAAGGGUUCUUGGGUUUGAUCAAUGUCUCCUUUUGACCACAAGCUCUUAAAUAUAAGGACUACUAGCUCAACACUGGAAAAUUUUGAGGUGUCUGUCGAAGAAGGUACAAGGAUGUAUGCGUAGCAGGAUUGUUUCUUCAAUUUGAUGAAAGUCAAACUUUGUUUCUUCCAUUUCAUUGCUCAUGAUUGUGCUGUAAUUUAUAGCUCCCCUGUCCAAUGUCCCUUUUACUUUUAAUAUUCUCUCUUUAAUUGCAUAUAUAUUGUAACUA